rnacentral:rRNA from 1 species
CGUGGGUAACCUACCCAUCAGAGGGGGAUAACACUUGGAAACAGGUGCUAAUACCGCAUAACAGUUUAUGCCGCAUGGCAUAAGAGUGAAAGGCGCUUUCGGGUGUCGCUGAUGGAUGGACCCGCGGUGCAUUAGCUAGUUGGUGAGGUAACGGCUCACCAAGGCAACGAUGCAUAGCCGACCUGAGAGGGUGAUCGGCCACAUUGGGACUGAGACACGGCCCAA